rnacentral:misc_RNA from 1 species
UCAGCGGGUCUUCCUGUCUAAUCUGAGGUUUUUUUUUUGUUAUAAUAUACAACACAUUUUUCUACUGUAUAUUAUUAUUAUCAUGUUCAAUUUUAGAGAAACUUAAAAAGUGGCUCCAACUCACUCGUCAAUAAAAGACAAAUAAUUUUUAGUGACUCUCAGAUAGACAUACUCUAUACAGAGUGCAAGUUGCGUUCAAAGAUUUGAUGAUUCACGGAAAGCAAUUCACAUUACGUAUCGCAUUUCGCUGCGUUCUUCAUCGUUGCGAGAGCCA